rnacentral:SRP_RNA from 15 species
GCUCAGCGCUGGCCGCCUCUUCCCGCGCAGGGCUCCAAAGGAGGUACUGGUGCAGGUACUCGGGCCGGAAACGGAGCAGGUAGGACGGCACACAC